rnacentral:rRNA from 1 species
UACAGAAGGUGCAAGCGUUAAUCGGAAUUACUGGGCGUAAAGCGAGCGUAGUCGGUUAUUUAAGUCGGGUGUGAAAGCCCCGGGCUCAACCUGGGAAUUGCAUUCGAUACUGGAUAGCUAGAGUUCGGCAGAGGGAAGCGGAAUUUCCGGUGUAGCGGUGAAAUGCGUAGAUAUCGGAAGGAACAUCAGUGGCGAAAGCGGCUUCCUGGACCAGAACUGACGAUCAGGCUCGAAAGCGUGGGGAGCAAACAGG